rnacentral:rRNA from 1 species
ACGAACGCUGGCGGCGUGCUUAACACAUGCCAGUCGAACGGAAAGGCCUUUUCGGAGGUACUCGAGUGGCGAACGGGUGAGUAACACGUGGGUGAUCUGCCCUGCACUCUGGGAUAAGCCUGGGAAACUGGGUCUAAUACCGGAUAGGACCGCACUUUAGUGUGUGUGGUGGAAAGUUUUUUCGGUGUAGGAUGAGCCCGCGGCCUAUCAGCUUGUUGGUGGGGUAAUGGCCUACCAAGGCGGCGACGGGUAGCCGGACUGAGAGGUUGGUCGGCCACAUUGGGACUGAGAUACGGCCCAGACUCCUACGGGAGGCAGCAGUGGGGAAUAUUGCACAAUGGGCGCAAGCCUGAUGCAGCGACGCCGCGUGGGGGAUGACGGCCUUCGGGUUGGAAACUCCUUUCGCCAGGGACGAAGCGUUUUGUGACGGUACCUGGAGAAGAAGCACCGGCUAACUACGUG